rnacentral:lncRNA from 1 species
GAGUGUUCCCCAUCAGAGACAGUUACGAACGCAUUUAAGGAAGUUAAAUCGGGACAUUUGCUUACCGAUAUCUGGCGGCUCUUGUAAAUUCAGACUGGCCAAACGGCAGAAUUUGGAAGCAUCAGGUGUUACUAUUUGAGGAAGACGUAAAAAGCACGCAGGCACAAUGGCGCGGUCGCCGUCCGCCGGCCGCGCGGGCGUCCCGCGUAAAUAACAAGGUAAUUUAUGAUCGUUACACAAUGAUCGUCAUAAAUCGCAUUGCUGCUGGUCGACAGAAUGUGCCGUUAUGCGAGGUACUCCGCAUCCGCCGUCAGCGUCGAGGCCUCCCCUUCCACACCCCCGUCGCGACGCCGAUAUUUUACUGCGGGGACGCGAUGCACGGCCGACAUAAUUUAUCUGUUUUCAAAUAUACCGCGCACGCCGAUAGAUUUACAUAUUUUAAUAUAAAUUCCUAAAUUCCGACCAUCCCCCGUUCCCCCGUACAGACGGCACUACGAAGGACGAGUACGUCUUUAUCGAUCAUCGCCGCCCCGUACCUCCGCGUCGUCCUCCCGCUUUACGUCUCGUUCCUUACUCCCGUCUUUCCCUAAUGUAGCACAGCUAAGAGCACGUAAAAGCGAAGAAUAUAACGGAUUCUUUGCAUGGUUGCGUUAUUAAUUGCAUCAUAGUAAGCAAGAUAAAAGCGCGCAACCAUCAUUAUUCAAACACAGUCUGCAACUUAUUUUCUGGCGUCUUGAAAACAAGAGUUUCAUUAGUUAAUGUGACAAAAUAACGAUCUUAUCAGUCUCCAUCUAUCUUUAUCGAUCAAAUAAUGUUCAAGCUCUUAUAAACAUGAAAUAUCAAAUGCCGCUUAUGAAUGUGUGACUACGUGAAAAUUCAUAGAGAAUGCGAUAUUAAAACAAUUUCAACAUUGUGAGAGUUUAAGACGCCGUGGCGUUUGAUGUAAGCGAUAAAAAGAAUUCGAACGCCGCCGAUAUAAUAACAAACGAUACCGGCCAGCGCGGCAUAGCUUUGUUCGAAUAUCAGACGAGUCGCCGAAUUGGCGACGGAUUGUAAUUCCGUCGUUUUUAUAAAGAAACCGAGCGUAUUAGUUAGUCUCUCUUCGACCGAGCUACGAUUCACACUGUAUGAAAUACAGUAUCUUUAUAUCCCAAAACCGUGUCUUACUCAACCAUCCUACAACAUGUUGGAUUAUACUACGCAGCCUCUCGGAAUGUAUUCUACUCACCACCGUAAUGAAUCUAAUUUCAUCAACGUAAUAUAUCUUAUUGCACCAUCGUGAGAAAAGCAAGAACGCGAUCCCGUACAGUAUCUUGCGCAACCCUCGCGAUGUGCGGUAAAUCCGAUCUGGUACUUUCAUCGCAGCGCAGCGAGUAGCGAGAUUUAAUCGCGGGACUGGAAUUCGAAGCUGUGCACUUAGAUUUUCAGACGGGGUGCAUCCGACGCCAUGAGCCGGCAGAAUCAAUUCUCGUCGCGCACACCGAUAACACGACGCGUCCCGCGUCCUGCUUCCCUCGCCUGUUCGAAGCGCGACGGAACUUGUUUGACACCUUAACUACCACUUGCACUCCCGAAUAUCUCUGCCUGUUUGACAGUCAACGAGAUCGACACAAUGCGAGUCGCUAUCGUCGACGGAAGUUUGCGUUUAGAAGCGUACACGCGCGCAUACGCGCGCACGCACGGCACGAUAUGUGCAACACAUUGAGGAAAUACGCGCUUCGAUCAUUCGCAUAAAUGCUAAAUAAUGUAAUGACAAUACUGUAUUUGUCACGCGUCAAGUAGGAUAUACCACGCUUACGAGCAACCGUCUCCUCGAAAUGAAGCGUUUUGUUUGGAUGCAAUGUAUCGAUAACGACGUCGCGAUAUGCAGAAUUUGUCGCGCGAUGAAUUUCCGGCGUGUCUUUCCGAAGAGACACACGCAAGGGCGAGACAUCGCGCGGGAUAAGCGCGGCGACAUCCCCAUCAGCAGGACGUUACCUCCUGACAGCAACAUAUUGGCCAUAAAUUUCGGAUAUGCGCUUUUGCGUCAUACGCGAAACGUCUCCGGCUUUUGCGUGUCCUGAUGAAAUAAAAAUGGACACGCGUAAAUCUAUCUCGAAUCUUACUAGUUUGCUCAUUUUUAUUGCGAAUUGUUUAACCGCGCUGUCAUUUAUUGAAAUAUACGUGUAUAUAUAUAUUAAAAGAAAUAGUUCCAGUAAAACUAUGUUAAACGGAGCGUAUCACGAGCACGAGAAUAUAU